AACGAACGCUGGCGGCAUGCCUAACACAUGCAAGUCGAACGAGACCUUCGGGUCUAGUGGCGCACGGGUGCGUAACGCGUGGGAACCUGCCCUUAGGUUCGGAAUAACUCCCCGAAAGGGGUGCUAAUACCGGAUAAUGCCUUCGGACCAAAGAUUUAUCGCCUUUGGAUGGGCCCGCGUUGGAUUAGCUAGUUGGUAGGGUACAAGCCUACCAAGGCGACGAUCCAUAGCUGGUCUGAGAGGAUGAUCAGCCACACUGGGACUGAGACACGGCCCAGACUCCUACGGGAGGCAGCAGUGGGGAAUAUUGGACAAUGGGCGAAAGCCUGAUCCAGCAAUGCCGCGUGAGUGAUGAAGGCCUUAGGGUUGUAAAGCUCUUUUACCCGGGAUGAUAAUGACAGUACCGGGAGAAUAAGCUCCGGCUAACUCCGUG
rnacentral:rRNA from 1 species